UACAGAGGGUGCAAGCGUUAAUCGGAAUCACUGGGCGUAAAGCGCACGUAGGCGGAUUGCUAAGUCAGGGGUGAAAUCCUGGAGCUCAACUCCAGAACUGCCUUUGAUACUGGCGAUCUUGAGUCCGGGAGAGGUGAGUGGAACUGCGAGUGUAGAGGUGAAAUUCGUAGAUAUUCGCAAGAACACCAGUGGCGAAGGCGGCUCACUGGCCCGGUACUGACGCUGAGGUGCGAAAGCGUGGGGAGCAAACAGG
rnacentral:rRNA from 1 species